rnacentral:lncRNA from 1 species
CAAGGAAAGGAACAAGAAAGCGGUGAGAUUCCUGAUUGAGAAUGGCGCAUUCCUGCCUCCUGAGAUGAAUGACCACAGGUUCAAUCCUCCCCUCCACUACUGCUCUGGAUUAGAAUGGGCGUAUGAGAUGAAGCGCAUGCAAGACGAGAGCGACUCACCUGGCGAGACUUCCUUGAGCUCAGACAGCUAGAGGGAAAGCAAGCAGGUGCACUGCGAAGAGGAUGCAGUUUGAGAAGGCGGACAAGUUACUUUCAGAAAACAAAGACGGACAAGUUACAUCAGGUUGUGUGGUUAUUCUAGAAUUGUAU